GAUGAACGCUGGCGGAAUGCUUUACACAUGCAAGUCGAACGGCAGCACGGACUUCGGUCUGGUGGCGAGUGGCGAACGGGUGAGUAAUGUAUCGGAACGUGCCCAGUCGUGGGGGAUAACGUAGUGAAAAUUACGCUAAUACCGCAUACGAUCUAUGGAUGAAAGCGGGGGAUCGCAAGACCUCGCGCGAUUGGAGCGGCCGAUAUCAGAUUAGGUAGUUGGUGGGGUAAAGGCCCACCAAGCCAACGAUCUGUAGCUGGUCUGAGAGGACGACCAGCCACACUGGAACUGAGACACGGUCCAGACUCCUACGGGAGGCAGCAGUGGGGAAUUUUGGACAAUGGGCGAAAGCCUGAUCCAGCCAUUCCGCGUGCAGGAUGAAGGCCCUCGGGUUGUAAACUGCUUUUGUACAGAACGAAAAGGUUUCUACUAAUUCUAGGAGCUCAUGACGGUACUGUAAGAAUAAGCACCGGCUAACUACGUGCCAGCAGCCGCCGUAC
rnacentral:rRNA from 1 species